rnacentral:rRNA from 1 species
UACGUAGGGUGCGAGCGUUGUCCGGAAUUAUUGGGCGUAAAGAGCUUGUAGGCGGUUUGUCCGCGUCUGCCGUGAAAAUUCGAGGCUCAACCUCGAACUUGCGGUGGGUACGGGCAGACUAGAGUGUGGUAGGGGAGACUGGAAUUCCUGGUGUAGCGGUGAAAUGCGCAGAUAUCAGGAGGAACACCGGUGGCGAAGGCGGGUCUCUGGGCCAUAACUGACGCUGGAGGAGCGAAAGCGUGGGGAGCGAACAGGA